rnacentral:tRNA from 1 species
UGUAGCUCAGUGGUAGAGCACUUGACCAGCAUGCACGAGGCUCUGGGUUCAAGCCCCAGUACAG